rnacentral:rRNA from 1 species
ACCGAAUAGAUACCCAGGUAGUCCACGCCCUAAACGAUGCGAACUGGAUGUUGGGUACAUUACGGUACUCAGUGUCGAAAGCUAAACGCGUUAAGUUCGCCGCCUGGGGAGUACGGUCGCAAGACUGAAACUCAAAGGAAUUGACGGGGGCCCGCACAAGCGGUGGAGUAUGUGGUUUAAUUCGAUGCAACGCGAAGAACCUUACCUGGCCUUGACAUCUGUCGAAUCCUGCAGAGAUGCGGGAGUGCCGCAAGGAACGACAAGACAGGUGCUGCAUGGCUGUCGUCAGCUCGUGUCGUGAGAUGUUGGGUUAA